GGGUCCAUAGCUCAGCUGGAGAGCGUCUGAUUUGCAUUCAGAAGGUCUACGGUUCGAUCCGUAUGGAUCCA
rnacentral:tRNA from 1 species